rnacentral:lncRNA from 1 species
AUUAAUCAAGGAACGUACCUUCAAUCAUAGUUGUUCAAGUGUUGUUGAGAUACGCCUUCGUAAAACUUUGACAGAAAAUCUAGGAGUCUUUUAGCCCGUGCCUAUUCGUUGGAUGCCAGACUGGUGGAGUCACAAGCGUAUUUAUAGGUAGGCUAGGGACUCUUAGGCAAAUACUUUAGCCCUAGGGACUUCUCCAUAAAUUAUAAUUACCCUAGGGACCACUAAUAUAUGGUAAUUUCUUUCCAUCAAAGAAACUACCAUAUAUGUAUAACU